UCCACACACAGCCGAAUUUCCUCCAGGUUACUGCCCUAGGAGAGUGUGAUCUGUUCUCCUUUUUCCUCACUGGCUGCUGCUCUGAAGACUGACCUGCCAACACUGGGAGGCAAGUAGCUGCGUCACUGCCCUUGGAUGCCGGAAGAAAGCUCUCAACACAGCCUCUACCGUCUCUUCCUCUGCCGCCAGCCACCACUUCUCACAGGGAACUGCACAGCUGCUUACCAGGUCCCCUAGCUGCCACCAUCAAUCUCCCUUCCUUCCAGUCACCGGGAACACCGGCAGUUACACUGCCACACACUGCAGGUUCAGUUGGAAGUUUUGUUGGCAUUUUGGAAGUGUUAGAAAAAGUACUUUUGGCUUCUACAUAUCACUAAAAGGCCCAGCAAUGUCUGAAACGAUGGAUUUAAUAAUGAUAUCUGAGUUUGAUACAUCGCGUGGCGUGUGCUUACCAACAAAUAUGAUGCAUUUUGAUUUAGACAAAGCUGUUCAUAGACUGGAACAAAAACACAUACAAAUACGUCAGCAGCUGCCAAGAGGACCAAACUACUCCAUGAGAAGUGAACUAAAGAGGCUGAAGGGUCACUGGUCUGGAGAACAAUUUUCAGGAUGGUCCCCAAAAGAGCUGGCGUCUGCUGGGUUCUACCGCACUGGCGUGGAAAGCAGCUGCCAGUGCUUCUGUUGUGGGCUGGUACUGUGCAAGCAAUCUUUAAGCGCUACCCCAAUGGAGAAACAUAGACAAUUUAACCCUAACUGUGCCUUUAUUCAGGGAAAUGAUGUUGGCAAUAUAUCAAAGUAUGAUGUUAGGGUGAAGUCUGUGGAGAUUAGUCUGACAAACCUCAUGGAAUCAGGAGAAAAUGAAGAGGUCAGAUUGCAGUCCUUUACCCAAUGGCCUGUAUAUGCUUUAGUACAGCCCAGCGCACUUGUACAGGCUGGAUUUUUCUUCACAGGUAAUGUAAAAAUAGACUAAGUUGGAGAUUCAGUUAUCCACAAGAUUCCAUUGUAGCAUGUUAUUCUUCUGCUCUAAUUACGUUAAUUAAUAGUAGUGAUAAAUCACAAAUUUUUGCUUGCCCCACUAGGAAACAUACUGUACAGUAAAAUGCAAGGCUAAUACAGAACCUUUGGGCUAAAUGAAUCCCCCCCAAAUGAUCAUAAAAGUUACAUUUAGUAUUAAACUAAAGGUAGAUGCUAGAAUCAAGUGGGCUAAGGGACCUUUUCCGUAAGGGGGAGGAGUUACGACGCAAGGGGGAGGAGCUAGGCCAGCGGGAUAGUUCCUCUACUAUCCACGCCACCAACUAUUACCUUUAGUAAUUAGGUGGUGAGCGAAGCGGAGCGGAGCGAGCCACCGUGCCCGAAGCGUGACGAGCGUACUUUUCGGGUACACUGUUCGCCCGUAGCUCCUCCCCCUGGUGACGUAGCUCCUCCCCUCAAUACGUCACAAGGUCCCUUCAGCCCCUCCGAUAUAGAACCAACCUUAAACUAAAUUCAGUGUUUACAGCAUUGGUCCUUAUUCAGGGUUGUUAGCAAACCAAAAAAAUCAC